CGUGCGUGUAGUCUUGACUCUAGCGCGAGUCGCGCGCGCACAUCAGCUGGUAGAACCUCGGAGAAGGGAGCAGGUCUGAUCCAGUGCUGUAGACCACAGACACAUCUAUAUCUAUAUAUUUAUGUCUAUACUGUAGACAGGCUACAGCCGGAAACAGACCGGGGAAGAGGCCCGGUGGACUUUAACGGGAAUCACGCCUUCCGCUGAAGAAAACGGUAAAGUAAGCUGGCCAUGGAGAGGAACCCGUUGUUUGUGAAGCUUUCAGCCCAGCCGUCCAGAGCGCUCGUGGACGAGAGGUUUGUUGUCUUGGUCCAGAACGCCGUCCCCGGUUCUCAGCUGACUGUCCAUGCCCUCCAUCAGUGUGAAGAUGGACACAGCUGGCAGGCGUUUGCUCAUUACAUCGCUGACGCCAUGGGGACAGUGAAUGUUUCAGAGGAUUCCAGUCUGGGUGGGACAUAUACUGGCACCGAAGCCAUGGGUUUACUGUGGAGCCUCAAACCGGUUCCAGGCAGCAAACCUGGGCUCAGGAUGAGGAAGAAGAACGUCCAGACUCCGAUGCUGGUGACUAUCUCAGUGUACCAGGGUCACCAGACAGAUGGCUUCGUGGACCAGGCACCGCUGGCCACUGUGGUGGUGGAGCGCUGGUACAUGGCUCCUGGAGUUCGAAGGAUCCCCGUCACAGAGUACGGCCUAACAGCAACCCUCUUCUUACCUGCAGGACCUGGUCCUUUCCCUGGUCUCCUGGACCUGUGGGGGGGCGGAGGACAAUUGGUGGAGUACCGAGCAGCUCUGUUAGCAUCCCAUGGAAUAGCAUCGUUGGCCCUGGAUUACCUCACCUGUAAAUACUCAAUGGAAACCAAGAAAACGGUUUCCAACCAGUACUUUGAGAUGGCCUACAGAGUCCUGGCUGAACAUCCCCAGAUCCUUGGCAGCAGAAUCGCCAUGUUGGGUCUGUCUUUGGGCACCAGCAUAACAUUCAGAACGGCCGUGUACUCUCAGGUCAUAAAGCUCAGAUGUGCGGUGUGUAUCAGCGGGAGUCACAGGCAGCCACACAAUUCAUCUUUGGAGGAAAUCCUGAGUUUCUUUCACAGCAACGCUGAUAAGAUCCGCUUCAAUGAGGAGAAUGAAGUGAUCUGGCGAGAUCUGCUGCUACCCAUCCCUAGUGACUCUACAAACAAAGUGGAAGUGGGACAAAUCAAAUGUCCUCUGCUGCUGAUUGUUGGUGAGGAUGAUCAGAACUGGUGUGCCUACGAGUCAGCGAUGGAUAUGAAGGAGAUGAUGGAGAAAGCGGGGAACAGCCACCUGCUGACGCUGCUGUCCUACCCAGAAGCAGGUCACCUGAUCGAGCCCCCAUAUACUCCACACGUUCGCUCCAGUCAGUUUCGAGACAUGUCCACGCGUCAGAUAAUGAUGGUUCUGUGGGGGGGGCAGACUCUGGGACAUGCUCGUGCUCAGGAGGACUCCUGGAAGAAGCUGCUGGUCUUUCUGAGGGAACACCUGUACAGCAGCUCAAAGCCAGCUCCGCUGUCCCACCUUUAGCCCCCAGAUGGCUGAAGGAGGGUUUUAGACUAGAGUAUCUAGUCGCGUCUGCUCAGGUCCCAUGUCUCCCAGGAUCGUUCCACGUGUCCUUUCAGAUUUCUGUUGUCCUUCAGCUUCAUCCCCAGUAACGGGAACUCCUCAGCUCCCAUCCCAUCUCUUCCCCUGUUAUUAUUCAUGUAUGCCAGCUCGGAUGUGUGUGUCGGCGGGAGUUCUCAUGUUCCUUUGAUUUCUUUUCCUCCUAUUUGUUUGUUUGUUUGUUUAGGUGACUGGCUCUGUUCUCUUGGUUUUUAUUUUACCCUCCCUACCGCCCUUGCUCUGUUGAUACUUUAGUUAUAUUGAUCUCCCCUCCUUAUCGUUGACUGUAUUUUAUUUAGUUAUUAGUGGGGCGGGUGUCCCUUUGGGACACUAAACUGGGACUGAUGGACACCCUUGACCUGAGGAGGGGGCUCUACUGGUCCAUCUGCUCAUGUAGUUGCUGGUUUGGUUCACCAUUAUAAAUGUGUCAGCUAUAGAAGGAGCCUCCAGCGAAAGGUCUACUCCAUGGUGGGGGCCAGGAGAAACCACAUUUUACAUGGUUGGUUGCUUGUCCAACUGGUCCAAAACCAGUUGGAUUUAUGAGUCUGGAGAAGGCUUGUGACCUAUUUUAUAGGUCAACUUCAUUAGAAAAAAACACAGCCUGUCUGGCUGUGAAGCAAACAGAAUUAAUGUCUGAAUGCUGGUAACAAGCCUUACAGAUUUACUCUCAGGUGGAGCAUCAAAGCUCCUGCUUUAAUGUCACGCCUGAUACUUAAAACUUUAUUGUUACUGUUUUUUGAAUGCUUUAUAAUUCUGACCGGACACGGAGACAGAGGUGAAAUAGAAAGGAAGAGACAAAAGGAAGGGUGUGUGUGUGUGUGUGUGUGUGUGUGUGGGAGGGGGGGGGGGGUCCACAAAAAUAAACAACCAAUGAUAAACAAGAGUCUGCUUCUAGAACUGCAGAAAAGGGACACACAACAAUACAACAGGAGCAAGCUAUCACUGUCAACUUGAUGAGGAAAUAUAAAAUCAACAUUGUUUUACUGAACUAUCACACGAUAAUAAAUCACAGUGCAUUUUGUGCCAACAGCCUUAAGACAUGUAUUGAACGUGCCCAAGUCCAUUCUUAUGAGAGCACCAUGUGAGCACCUGUGUGUGUACACGCACGCGCUUGUAUAUGUAAGGUUUCUCUAUAAAAGCGUCCAAUAGAGAGUGUGAGGGACCACAGAUCUGCCCCCUAAAGAUGUGUAGGAGAUGGAGGGAGCUCCAAGUCCCAGAGAUCCAGGAGCUGCCCCAGAGCGCAGGGACCCCAGGGAGACUGCAACCAGAAAAGCCCCCGCUCCCCUCGAGAGGCGCAGAGGAUUGCCCCGGGGGAUAUCAGCGGCAAGCCCACAGGCCCGCCCGCAGCCUCCCACCCCCUAGCCGGCCGAGCUUGGAACCCAGCGACCCGGGACCCAGGGGCGACCAGCCCCGCGGGGGACCCAACAGUGCCCAGGGACUUAGAUCCCACCAGGCAGCCACCGGGAUCAAUCAGGCAGACGCCAAAAAUCAUAAACCCCAUGACCCGGGAGCCGCGAACACUCAGGCAGACCACGGCACCACACUCCACACCAGGCGUGGCAGGGGGAGGGUAGGCGAAGAUGUGUAGGAGCACAAGAAGUCCCAGGAGAGGGCAGGAGUCCAAGACCUCACCUGACAUAUACAGCCAUACACAAACACAGUCACACACUGCCUCCCUCAUGCUUACACACACACAUACAGCCUGAGAAUUACAAAAAUGAAUGCUAGACACCCACUCAUGCUCCCCAUACACACCCUAUUCACUCUGGUCCCGGUACUGCUGCACAUGGGGUACAACCAUCACCGUUCCCAGAGUUCGCCCCUUUCUGUUGGGGUGCUGAUGAGCAGGCACCUCCGCCCAACGCUGAGCAAAGCAACCCACCACCCCCAUGUUGGGGACAUGACGGCCAGCUUCCCCUCCUAGCCUCCAGCCCCGGGAAGCCAAGUGACAACAGAGGUGUGCUAAGACCCCUAGUUUCCCUCCGCCUGCUCCAAUACAGUGUUGGUGCGUGUUGAUGAGGUGUAUUUGUGGCUGUGGUGAGUGGGCAGUGCGGGCAUUGUCUGGCCCACGCCAGCUGAUGCCACCACACAACCCCACUUCCCCCCACAGCCCUCUGUGUCUAAGUGCAGUUUAAAAUUCGAAGGUGGCACCGGCACUCGUGUUGACUUUUAAAAAAUUUUAUCUCCAAUUCCAACGGGUCACUGAGUGUUUCAUGCAGGCUGAACAUGAAAAUAGUCUCCUACACCUAUCUCCUGCAUUAGCCUCUGACAGAAAACAGAUGGUGAAACUCUAGGAUUAGAAGAUCCUGACAGAUCUACGUCACACUGUCACUAACAGUGUUGGGCAAGUUACUUCAAAACUGUAAUGCAUUAUUUAUUACUUGUUACCCUCAUUUUAAAGUAAUUAAUUACAUUACAAUAUUACUGAUUUCGAAAUGUAAGGCAUUACACCACUUUUGCAUUACUUUAAGUUACUUUCACCAAAACAACUUCAAUAUGAAUCUGGUAAUCUGACGCUCAGUGAGCUCAUGACAUAUAUGUGGAAAGUGAUGUGGUGUCUGAGCUAGGAUUGCUGUUAAAAACAGUCGGAUAUAAUAACAGUGCUUUAAAAUGAUUGUUUAUUAAAUAAAAGCAACAACAAUCUGUA